rnacentral:rRNA from 1 species
GUGGGGAAUAUUGCGCAAUGGGCGAAAGCCUGACGCAGCGACGCCGCGUGAGGGAUGAAGGUCUUCGGAUCGUAAACCUCUGUCAGCAGGGAAGAACGGUCACUGUGCUAAUCAGCAGUGAAUUGACGGUACCUGCAAAGGAAGCACCGGCUAACUCCGUGCC